rnacentral:rRNA from 1 species
GACGAACGCUGGCGGCGUGCUUAAUACAUGCAAGUCGAACGAUGAACCCGGAGCUUGCUCCGGUGGAUUAGUGGCGAACGGGUGAGUAACACGUGAGUAACCUGCCCUUGACUCUGGGAUAACUGCGGGAAACUGUAGCUAAUACCGGAUACGACCCUCGGCGGCAUCGCCAGGGGGUGGAAAGAAUUUCGGUCAAGGAUGGACUCGGGGCCUAUCAGCUAGUUGGUGAGGUAACGGCUCACCAAGGCGACGACGGGUAGCCGGACUGGGAGGGUGACCGGCCACCCUGGGACUGAGACACGGCCCAGACUCCUACGGGAGGCAGCAGUGGGGAAUAUUGCACAAUGGGCGCAAGCCUGAUGCAGCAACGCCGCGUGAGGGAUGACGGCCUUCGGGUUGUAAACCUCUUUUAGCAGGGAAGAAGCGAAAGUGACGGUACCUGCAGAAAAAGCACCGGCUAACUACGUGCCAGCCGCCGCGGUAA